rnacentral:rRNA from 1 species
UACGUAGGGUGCAAGCGUUGUCCGGAAUUAUUGGGCGUAAAGAGCUCGUAGGCGGUUUGUCGCGUCUGCUGUGAGAAUCCAGGGCUUAACCCUGGACCUGCAGUGGGUACGGGCAGACUGGAGUGCGGUAGGGGAGAUCGGAAUUCCUGGUGUAGCGGUGAAAUGCGCAGAUAUCGGAAGGAACAUCAGUGGCGAAAGCGACUUCCUGGACCAGUACCGACGUUCAGGCACGAAAGCGUGGGGAGCAAACAGG